rnacentral:rRNA from 1 species
AUUGGACGCUGGCGGCAUGCCUUACACAUGCAAGUCGAACGGCAGCACGGGAGCAAUCCUGGUGGCGAGUGGCGAACGGGUGAGUAAUACAUCGGAACGUGCCCAGUAGUGGGGGAUAACCCGGCGAAAGCCGGACUAAUACCGCAUACGACCUACGGGUGAAAGCGGGGGAUCGCAAGACCUCGCGCUAUCGGAGCGGCCGAUGUCAGAUUAGCUAGUUGGUGGGGUAAAGGCCUACCAAGGCGACGAUCUGUAGCUGGUCUGAGAGGACGACCGGCCACACUGGGACUGAGACACGGCCCAGACUCCUACGGGAGGCAGCAGUGGGGAAUUUUGGACAAUGGGCGCAAGCCUGAUCCAGCCAUGCCGCGUGCGGGAAGAAGGCCUUCGGGUUGUAAACCGCUUUUGUCAGGGAAGAAACGCUCCGGGCUAAUACCACGGAGUAAUGACGGUACCUGAAGAAUAAGCACCGGCUAACUACGUG